rnacentral:lncRNA from 1 species
GCAUCAUUCUCAUCAACCAGGAUCCCAACUGUGUCCUCGGCUGGUCCUACCUUCUGCAGUGUUUCUGGUAGUCUGGGGUCAAGAUCGACAUCACUUAGAUCGUCAUCAUUAUCCUUCGGAUGAACAGUGUCAGCAGACUUUGAACUUUCUCCUUCAAACGGGGGGAGCCUCGGGUAACCUGAUGGGUGUAAUGCUGGGUCGUCAAUAACCAUCUUUCCCUUUCUCGCCCGCAUCAGCUUCUGCUCUUCUGUUUCAUCUUCGCUGGCUUCUUCGACUAUCCCUUCGACGAAUGUGUCGGAUGGCAUAGGCGGAGGUCCUUCGAUUUG